GGGCCUAUAGCUCAGCUGGUUAGAGCGCACGCCUGAUAAGCGUGAGGUCGAUGGUUCGAGUCCAUCUAGGCCCA
rfam:Clostridium estertheticum subsp. estertheticum strain DSM 8809, complete genome.